rnacentral:lncRNA from 1 species
UGUAUGCACAUUUAUUUUAAAAUAAAACAUACUCAGCAGGCAUAUGGCCCAUAUUUUGGGAACCCAUUACACAAAUUAACAUUCACACUCCAAAUGAUUAUUAUCACAUAUUUAUGGGAACCAUGCAUCCCUCUCCAUAAAGGCUAUAAGGAUCUGCAAGAAAAUAUAUGAAAUCUUUUCCCUGGCAUACCUAAUGAACAUCUCCCCACCCCCCGACAAGCACCCUCCAAAAAAGCCUGGGAAAAGAAAAAACGGCUUUGGAGAAUGUCAGGGAGGUCGUCCCACAGUUCAGUCUCUCACAUCACCCCCCAAACAUAUGCUGAUACACCCAUCCAUGCAGUAAUCUAUUAUUAUCAUUUACCACUCUGUGACUGUUAGAAAAAAAAAUACAUUUAAAAAAAAAAAAAAAAAGCAAUCAUUAAUAAAAAGCCAGGGAAUGGGGCCAACUCAGGAGCAGAAUUAAAACAACACACCCCGCUGAUGCUGAUAGCACUACACGAGGUUAUGCAGGCUCAAGUACAGACACAGCCUUCACCCACAGGAGGGAUGCACAAUGACCCAUAACAGCAGAGAUGCAAUGAGAAGUGCUAGGAUCGUGCAGGCACACUGGACAACUGCCCUUGCUGUUGAACAGCAGCACACAGACAUAACUUGCAAAUGCAGGAGAAUGAACUCCUUGGAGGAUCUUCAUAGCUCAGGCAAAUACUAUUUCAAGAGAUUCUUCAGCAAUCAGGCCAUAAGCUUCUCUUGUUAA